CGGUGCUUACUGGCGUGUCGCGGGACGUCCUGCCGGUGGAUGCGGCUCCGGCAACGGGGCGGUCCAGACUAAUCCCAUGGCGAUGCUCUUCACCGGGUGUCGUUGUGGGCCGGCACGUUUACUUUGAACAAAUUAGAGUGCUCAAAGCAGGCCGAUUUCGCCUGAAUACUGUGUGCAUGGAAUAAUGGAAUAGGACCUCGGUUCUAUUUUGUUGGUUUUCGGAACCCCGAGGUAAUGAUUAAUAGGGACAGACGGGGGCAUUCGUACUGCGACGUUAGAGGUGAAAUUCUUGGAUCGUCGCAAGACGAACUACUGCGAAAGCAUUUGCCAAGAAUGUUUUCAUUAAUCAAGAACGAAAGUUAGAGGUUCGAAGGCGAUCAGAUACCGCCCUAGUUCUAACCAUAAACGAUGUCGACCGGCGAUCCGUCGUCGUUAACUUUAAUGACUCGACGGGCAGCCUCCGGGAAACCAGAGUGUUUGGAUUCCAGGGGGAGUAUGGUUGCAAAGCUGAAACUUAAAGGAAUUGACGGAAGGGCACCACCAGGAGUGGAGCCUGCGGCUUAAUUUGACUCAACACGGGAAAUCUCACCAGGCCCGGACACCGGAAGGAUUGACAGAUUGAGAGCUCUUUCUUGAUUCGGUGGGUGGUGGUGCAUGGCCGUUCUUAGUUGGUGGAGCGAUUUGUCUGGUUAAUUCCGAUAACGAACGAGACUCUGGCCUACUAACUAGACAUGUGAUCCUUUAUGGGUCUGAUGUAGCUUCUUAGAGGGACGGGCGG
rnacentral:rRNA from 1 species